CAUUACUGUGAUUUAAACAUUCUACACUGCGUGAGCGCACUUACAACACACAAACGUAUGUACCGUCGUCAACAACUACAAAACAAACAAAACUUUCAACAACGGAUCUCUUGGUUCUCGCAUCGAUGAAGAGCGCAGCGAAAUGCGAUACCUAGUGUGAAUUGCAGCCAUCGUGAAUCAUCGAGUUCUUGAACGCACAUUGCGCCCUUCGGUAUUCCGGAGGGCAUGCCUGUUUGAGCGUCGUUUCCUUCUUGCGCGUGCGCAGAGUUGGAGGGGUCUUGUGGCCCUUCUGAAAAGAAACGCGCGGGCNGAAGCGAACUAUAUUGGGACGCUUGGCCGCCGAACUUACUACUAAGCUCGACCUCAAAUCAGGUAGGGAUACCCGCUGAACUUAAGCAUAUCAAUAAGCGGAGGAAAAGAAACCAACAGGGAUUGCUCCAGUAAC
rnacentral:rRNA from 1 species